ensembl:snoRNA SNORA70 Small nucleolar RNA SNORA70
AUAAAUCUUAAGAAAAAACCAGACAAACAACUUGAAGGGGGCCUGGUGUGCAGUGGCUGCAAACAGCAGGCUCCUUGGCAGCGUGUGCAGCCUACUGCUUGUUUAGGCUGCUCUGAGGGACCUUGAACACAGCC